UAUACUACAAAGGAAGCAAGAACUUGACGUUACUAGGGGAAUAGCACGACUAGUACAGUGCCCAGCAGUCGCGGUAAAUACGGGAGUUGCAAGCGUUAUCAGGAAAUUAAUUGGGCGUAAGCGUCCGCAGGCCGCCCGUUUAAGUCUGUUGUUAAAUCGUGGAGCUCAACUCCAUCACGGCAAUGGAAACUGUUCGGCUUGAGUAUGGUAGGGGCAGAGGGAAUUUCCGGUGUAGCGGUGAAAUGCGUAGAUAUCGGGAAGAACACCAGUGGCAAAAGCGCUCUGCUGGGCCAUUACUGACGCUCAUGGACGAAAGCCAGGGGAGCGAAAGGGAUUAGAUACCCCUGUAGUCCUGGCCGUAAACGAUGAACACUAGAUGUUGGGGGAAUCGACCCCUCCGGUGUCGUAGCUAACGCGUUAAGUGUUCCGCCUGGGGAGUACGCACGCAAGUGUGAAACUCAAAGGAAUUGACGGGGGCCCGCACAAGCGGUGGAGUAUGUGGUUUAAUUCGAUGCAAUGCGAAGAACCUUACCAAGGCUUGACAUCCUGCGAAUCUCCAAGAAAUUGGAGAGUGCCUUCGGGAACGCAGUGACAGGUGGUGCAUGGCUGUCGUCAGCUCGUGUCGUGAGAUGUUGGGUUAAGUCCCGCAACGAGCGCAACCCACGUUUUUAGUUGCCAGCAUUCAGUUGGGCACUCUAGAAAGACUGCCGGUGACAAACCGGAGGAAGGUGUGGACGACGUCAAGUCAUCAUGCCCCUUACGCCUUGGGCUACACACGUACUACAAUGCUGCGGACAAAGAGUAGCGAUCUUGCAAAAGUUAGCUAAUCUCGUAAACCGUGGCUCAGUUCAGAUCGUAGGCUGCAACUCGCCUACGUGAAGGAGGAAUCGCUAGUAGUCGCAGGUCAGCAUACUGCGGUGAAUACGUUCCCGGGCCUUGUACACACCGCCCGUA
rnacentral:rRNA from 1 species